ensembl:lncRNA
GGUAAGGUCCCGCCUCCCGUUGGUGGUCUCCGGCUUCGUUAGGUGCGGGCUGGGCUCCUAAACACUGCACCCCACCCAGCUGCCUCUGCCUUUCCACCUGUUUAUCGAGAAACCUCACAGAGCAUCUCUACGCUGCUGAGUCCUGGGAACCCUGCCCAGUGAGCCCAGGCGCUGCCCUUGGGAUGCUCAGGCAGGGACAACGCUGAUUCGAGGAUCCCGGAACCUAGCAUGAGACCUGGUACAGGGAAGAUGUCAGAAAAAGCUUAUUGACUUCCUCAAGGCUCCGGGCACACUGCCUUGAUUGGGAAGGCCAACUGCUGUAACAAACACCCCUGAUCUCCGUGGCUCAACAUGAUAAAAGGACGUUUUUUGCUCAAAGUCCAGUGUGGCUGUUCCUACUUGAUAACUCUCUUGGGCAGUCCUGAUCAAGGCUCUCUACCCCCAUCUUGUGCUGCUCAUGUCUUCACCCUAGGCCUCCAAGGUUCCUGGGAAAGAGGAGAAUUCUCUUCCCUCUGACCCCUCAAGUCUCUGCCCAUCCCACAUCCCGGCACCCUCAAGUCUAAUGGCCACCUGUACUCCAUCCCAACCAGGCCAGAGUGUCACGGCCAUCAAUCCCACCUCCGACCUUUGCUUAAACUGUUGCCCCACCCAUCUGGGGACCCUCUAUGGCCAGCACAGCCUCUGUCCUCCAGGCGAGCCACCUGGUGCCUCAGUACACAGCACUGGUGUAGCCCGGUCUAAUCGCUGAGGGCUGUGGCCAUGGCACUGAGCUGCCAAGCUGGCCCCCAACAAUCUCACCUCCUGAUGUCCACACCCUUGUAUGGAGUGUGACCUAGACUUGGUGACUCACAUCUGAUCAAUAGAGUAAGGCAGAAUCCGUGACGUGUGACUCGGAGGCUAGAUCAGACAGGGCAGUGUGGCCUCUCUCUCUCUACUCGCUUGCUCUGGAAGGAGCCGUGUCAUUGGCAGCCCUAUGGAGAGGCCCACGUAGUGAGGGACGGAAGCCUCCUGCCAACAGCCACAUGGCUGAGCUUGGGAGGGGAUCGCCCCCCCCACCGCCACCCUCAAGUCUUCCAGGACUGCAGCCCUAGCCAACAGCUGGGCUGCAGCCUCGUGAGAAGCCUGAGCCAGAACCCCUCUGCAAAGACACUUGCAGACUCCUGACCCUCCAAAACGGCGAGACAAUAAAUGUUUGUUAAAAGCAACAGGUUUUGGGGGAUUUGUUAUAUAUACAGCAAUAGAGAACUAGUUCAGUCACCUCCAGAGGCAAAGUCUGGGUCUUCUCCCCUCAUCCCUGCCCCAGGCCUAGUGUGUGCUGGACUAAAGGAGGCAUGUGAGAGUUCAUUUAUGCAACCAGGCCGCGUUUGCUGGGGCUGCAGAGGUGCACCAGGCCCUGCGCUGGUGCUGGGAUGGGGCUUAGGGCGACAAGGAUGGAGUCUUGGCCCUCGGGGGCUUCCUAGUCCACUGGGAGACAGAAGAGUCACUCACCCCUUAAUGACCAUGGCCCUUUCACCCCAAAAACUAAUCCGAAAGAGGGGUAACUAACUCUGAUUCAGGGCAGUGGGGUGGGAGAGCGGAGUGUGAGGGUGGGUGAGGUGUGCUGAGGUUUGACAAAGGAGGUGACCUUUGCGGGUCGGUGACGUUGACUAGGUCGAGGAGGAAGAGCAUUUUGGGGAAGGGGAACAGCGUGCCUCGGAACACAGCAGAUGCAAGAGCAGCAUGUGGUCAGCAAUCAGUGAAGGAUGUACAGG